GGAGUGUACUUUAGUGUAGCAUGUAAAAGAGGUCAGUUGUCCAGAUACCUGUUGACCAGCACAUAGGGAUCUGUACAGAGGAACCAAAAGGAACGAACUAAGCAGUUAUAAAGCACUUUUAUCCUAAGGAUUUGAUGCCAAUGCCCUGUCAGCCUUUCAAAUCAGGCAGCGAGAGGAGGAUAUGGUUUGGGAGGAGUCUUCCACGAGAAAAGGUGCACUGAGGGAAAACAGUUAGGAGGUAGGAGUGAGUGGCCAGUUGUCAUGUAAAGUGUCAUUCCUUGCCUUUGAUCUACUGUAGGAUCUAUCAGUUGGUUGCUGUCCACACCUUGUUGAGGUUAAAGGCAGCAGAGGUACAGUUUGAGAACAUCACAGGGGCCAGACCUUCAUUGUGGAAGGUUGGUUAGACCAAGCAGCAUUGUUAGCCAAACUUGAUGGAACCAGAUUUGGAGUAGAAAGAGUCUUCUUCUUCUUCUUCUCAUUCUGAGAAAUAGCCAAGGUAUACCUUUCUCUAGGUCUUAUCUUGCUUCUGCCAGAGCCAUGGACUGAGAACAGUGUGCUGAAGAGACAUAUAAAGACUUCAACAUCCAUUACAGGUAAGUGUCAAGAGUCAACAGAAAGAAGCACAAGCAAUAUUACCUUAUUUCCACUCCUAUCUUCUGUACUUCUACUUCCUCAUUUCAUCUCAUACCAUGAAAAACACACCCUGCUGUGGCUGGUCAAAUGGAACCAAGUCAGGUGUUUCUGUGAGGUUUGGUCCCCUUCAACCAGCUACUGCGCUGUGAAUUCAGCCAGCAAUGGCGGCUAAGCAAGAACAGCCCAUUUCAGCACUUCUAGUGGCUAUAAAUAUAGAAUACGUAUUUUAAUGUAUAAUGUUUUUAAAAUAUGUUUUGGAAAGGUAAGUAACUAAGUAGGUAGCACUGUUAUUAAGUAAUAUGUAAUAUAUUUCAUAUUCAUAUUAAUAUAUUAAAGACUACAUGAUUGUACUGUGUACAUUAUUGCCUAAUAAAAAUUAUGAUGCCAUCUUGGAAAUCUUUUGA
rnacentral:lncRNA from 1 species